rnacentral:rRNA from 1 species
CAGUAGCCGCGGGAAUACGAGGGGGGCAAGCGUUGUUCGGAAUUAUUUGGCGUAAAGGGUGCGUAGGCGGUCUGAUAAGUCUGAUAUGAAAUCUAUGGGCUCAACCCAUAGUCUGCAUCGGAAACUGUCAGGCUUGAGGAUGGGAGAGGUGAGUGGAAUUUCCGGUGUAGCGGUGAAAUGCGUAGAUAUCGGAAGGAACACCUGUGGCGAAAGCGGCUCACUGGACCAUUUCUGACGCUGAUGCACGAAAGCUAGGGGAGCAAACGGGAUUAGAUACCCCCGUAGUCCCUGUCUCUUAUAC